rnacentral:misc_RNA from 1 species
UGGGCUUGACAUGUGGAUGACCGCCGUGGAAACACGGCUUCCCUUCGGGGCAUCUUCACAGGUGGUGCAUGGCUGUCGUCAGCUCGUGUCGUGAGAUGUUGGGUUAAGUCCCGCAACGAGCGCAACCCCCGUCGCAUGUUGCCAGCAUUUAGUUGGGGACUCAUGCGAGACUGCCGGUGACAAACCGGAGGAAGGUGGGGAUGACGUAGUCUACG